rnacentral:rRNA from 1 species
CGCGUAGGCGGUUUGGUCGGUUAGACGUGAAAUUCCUGGGCUCAACCUGGGGGCUGCGUUUAAUACAGCCAGACUUGAGUGUGGAAGAGGGUCGUGGAAUUCCCAGUGUAGAGGUGAAAUUCGUAGAUAUUGGGAAGAACACCGGUGGCGAAGGCGGCGACCUGGUCCAUUACUGACGCUGAGGCGCGAAAGCGUGGGGAGCAAACAGGAUUAGAUACCCUGGUAGUCCACGCCGUAAACGAUGUGCGCUGGAUGUUGGGUGACCUAGUCGACUCAGUGUCGUAGCUAACGCGGUAAGCGCACCGCCUGGGGAGUACGGCCGCAAGGUUGAA